rnacentral:rRNA from 1 species
ACGCUCGACACCUACGGGAGGCAGCAGUGAGGGAUAUUGGUCAAUGGGGGGAAACCNCACANNACNCCGCCGUGNGGGAGUGACGGCCUCGUUGGUACUACUNUCUCUCUGAGANAUAGACGGUAAGGUACGCGAGGAGGAAGGACGUCCGGCCGUAACUACGUCGUACCACCACGCCGCGGUAGUACUGUAGCGGGCGGUCGGCGGAACGGACG